AUGAUUUGCAUGAUUGUCUGCAACAGAUAUGAAUUCAAUGAAUGCUUUAUCUUCAUAAAUGGACAUUUGAGGAAGAUAAAGCAUUCAUUGAAUUCAUAUCUGUUGCAGACAAUCAUGCAAAUG
rnacentral:miRNA from 1 species